UGGCGCGUCGUCUAAUGGCAGGACACUGGUUUUUGGUACCAGACGUUGUAGGUUCGAAUCCUACCGCGCCAGCCA
rnacentral:tRNA from 1 species